UACGGGGGGAGCAAGCGUUGUUCGGAUUUACUGGGCGUAAAGGGCGCGUAGGCGGCGUGACAAGUCACUUGUGAAAUCUCCGGGCUUAACCCGGAAAGGUCAACUGAUACUGCAGGGCUAGAGUGCAGAAGGGGCAACUGGAAUUCUCGGUGUAGCGGUGAAAUGCGUAGAUAUCGAGAGGAACACCUGCGGCGAAGGCGGCGACCUGGACAAGUACUGACACUCAACUACGAAAGCGUGGGGAGCAAACAGG
rnacentral:rRNA from 1 species